UAGUAGUUGAGUGACAUUAAAUUUAAAGAAUUUGGCGGUGUUUUAAUCUGUUCAGAGGAAUUUGUUUUAUAAUAGAUAAUUCACGUUGAAUCUUACUUAAUUUAUAAAGUUUAUAUAUCGCUAUUUAAUUAAAUUUUAUUAGAAGUUGAUGAUUAUUAUGUUAUAAAGUAAUUUAAGUCAAGGUGUUGCUAAAUAAUUGAGAAAAAAUGAGUUACMUUAUUAAGGAAAUUUAUGGAUUUUAUUUUGGAUUGAGUAGUAUGAAGGUGGAUUUGAUAGUAAUUUUAUAAAGAUUGUUAGGGUGAUUAAAAAGUUUAAGGUGUGUACAUAUGC
rnacentral:rRNA from 1 species